ACUUCAUUUGCAGUCCACUUUUCAAUGUGAGAAAUUAGAAACGCUUUUAAGCAAAGUUACGAACUAUAAAACAGCUGGGAAGCAAGGAACGACAACUUUAAAGAGGAGGAAAAAAGCAGUAAGAGAAUUUACUCCAGGCUUGGCUGACUGCAAGUUUCUUCUGUAGCUUGACACUAAUAAACACACACAAGCAUGAUUGUUUCUGUAAUAAGGUCGCUUAUGAAGGCCGUAGAGGCAGUGGUCUCUGCAGAGAACCUUGAGAGGAACUGAACUCUGCUUCAUGAGUACCUUGCUGAUCCUGGCAGUGAGUCUGGAGCGAUGAGGGAGUAGGAUCCGAGGAAGGGUGACUUACAGCAUCUUGAUGCUCCCGACCAUUGUGACUGCUGCUGGUGCACCGAGGAACUCCUCCUGUAAGAUCUGGGGUCACAGGACCGAAUGAACUUUUCCCCUCAUCAGCUGUGGAAAGGAGGACCAGCGGUGUUUUCUCCCUCUCCCACCGCCUGAUGAAUGUCAGGCCCCCAGCUUGUUAACUGCUGAUUUGGCCAUCAUUAGGCCCCCGCUCCAGCUGACUGCCCAUUUAUCCUGGCUUCACACAUCACCAUGCCAACGGAGGAUGGUGUAUAGGUAUUCUCCUAUUAUGCUUAAGUAGCACUUUGGAACAUGUUUCAAUUUAAGGUGGCACACAAAUCUAACUUCCCUCAUCCUUUAAUUUGACUCAGUGGUAGCACUAUGGGAAUAACAGACAAUGCACAGCCUAUUAGCAAUUAUCCAGUGAAUCACUGCUACAGUCUGUCAUCCUGGUGCUUAUUUAAUGCAGUCUCUUACGGCCUAGUAGAACAUUGCCUAUCUGCUGGGCUCUGCCUACUGAUCCCUGUAUAGCAGGCACAUCCAAUGUGGCACGUGAAAUAUGCCUGCAUCCUCCUAAGGAAAUAUCUAUAAAUAUAAGGUAUAAUAGCCAAACAGUAAACAAGGAUGAUCCAACAGAUUCUUCUCCAAUAAAACAGUCGAACAAAGAUGACUCAGUAGAUUCCACUCCAAUGUACAUAGUUACUGCAUUUUAAAAAUCACUAAAGGGAACUGUGAAAAGGUGCUUGUAUGAGCUAGGAACAGUGCUUUAGCUCUUGAGUAUCUGAUAAGAGAAAGAGAGGAUGAGAGCUUGCAGUCGGUCACUGGACCAGAGCACACACAUACACACACACAAAUCUUCAUUGACCUUUAUGUUAUUGAAGUCAUAACGAUACUUUUUAUGUUAAUUUGAUGCUUCAAUAAGUAAAAACAGAUAGAAUCUUCAGAAAAUUGAAAUUUGUCUAUAUGCACUGCCU